GGUGAACGCUGGCGGCGUGCUUAAGACAUGCAAGUCGAACGCAGUCUUCGGACUGAGUGGCGCGCGGGUGAGUAACACGUAACUGACCUACCCCCAAGUCGCGGAUAACUGGCCGAAAGGUCAGCUAAUACGUGAUGUGAUGUCCCCUUUCUGGGGGGCCAUUAAAGGUUUACUGCUUGGGAUGGGGUUGCGUUCCAUCAGCUAGUUGGCGGGGUAAAGGCCCACCAAGGCAACGACGGAUAGCCGGCCUGAGAGGGUGGCCCGCGACAGGGGCGCUGAGACACGGGUCCCACUCCUACGGGAAGCAGCAGUUAGGAAUCUUCCACAAUGGGCGAAAGCCUGAUGGAGCGACGCCGCGUGAGGGAUGAAGGUUCUCGGAUCGUAAAACUCUGAAUCAGGGACGAAAGACGCGUAAGCGGGAUGACGGUACCUGAGUAAUAGCACCGGCUAACUCCGUGCCAGCCGCCGCUGUAA
rnacentral:rRNA from 1 species